GACGAACCGUGCGAACGUUAUUCGGAUUCACUGGGCUUAAAGGGCGCGUAGGCGGGCUCGCCAGUCCGGGGUGAAAUCUUUCGGCUUAACCGGAAAAGUGCCUCGGAUACUGCGAGCCUUGAGGGAGGUAGGGGCAUGUGGAACUUCCGGUGGAGCGGUGAAAUGCGUUGAUAUCGGAAGGAACGCCGGUGGCGAAAGCGACGUGCUGGCCCUCUUCUGACGCUGAGGCGCGAAAGCUAGGGGAGCAAACAGG
rnacentral:rRNA from 1 species